CCAUAUCCUAGAGAGCAACAGAGGGUGGGCGUAAAGAGGGGCGUAAAUGUGCGCGGGCAGGUUCGCUUGCGCUUUGCCUUCACCUGAUCAUCUUUCGUCGUCGUCGUAGGUUUGGGUUGGAAGGGUAGGUAGGAGGGGAGGGGAGGCAGCUGUGCGGUGUGUUGGUUUGGUUUGGUUUGGCUUUCGUCUCGCUCGCUCGCUCUCUCUCCUCCGGGCCGGUUUUCCUCGCCCCGCGCAGGGAGUAUUCGCCUCCCCGCCUCGCCGAGAGUGCAACGCCUUAAGCCUCCGGGGGUCCUUAUCGGUCGGCCAGCCCGGUCCGCGCCUCCGGCCUCCCGCCUCCGCCUCCUCCCCUACCCCUUGCACUGCAGCAGCCACCGCCGCGCCGACCGGAAGAAGGGCGGCCUCGGCCGCUGCAUGCUCCACCGCCGCCGCCUCCCGCCCCGGCCCGACGCCUACUGCCCCCACGACGGGCUGCGGUUGCAGCUGCACGUGCGCGACGGGUGGUCCCGCCCCUGGGCGCAGCAGCGGCGGAAGACCGCGAUGGGGUGUCGCGCGGAGUGCGACGAGAUGAGGGUGCCGUUGCGGCGGCUGGAGCCGGUCUACGAGCCGGAGAAGUACCUCGAGGCGAGGGUGGAGGCGCAGUUGUAGUACACCAGUCGGUGGGGAAGGGGGGCAGAGAGGGAGAGAGAGAUAGAGGGGGUGGGGGCAUCGGAGAUCAAAGGGAGUGUGCCGGCGCAGUACGAGGACGUAAGUGGAGUGGAGGGUGGGCGCGUUAGCUAUAAGUCCAAGUAGAAGACGCAAGCAGUUAUCAUAGACCGUCGAGGACGGAGACGUGUCGGAGGAAGGCUAACCUAAGCCGUCCGACAACCACCAGCAUAAGGAGUAGUAUAAGGCACAGACCCCACCAAAAUACCGAGGUCGCGUACGACUAAGCCAAGCUCCUCCUAAAUUAGCCUCGAAGCAGAAACAGCAGACGAUCCGUCGGUUGGCACUUAUUUAUUAUUCUAAUCCACCGCAAGCCUUAAAAAACUAACUGGACGUCUUCUAGACGACUUAUCGGACGAAGGUAAAUUUUUUUUUUUCAAACUAAGUCUGUGUUAAACCCAAAACGAAGAAGCACCUCUAUUAGACGAGGUUGGUAUAGGAUAGGAUCAGUGUUAAGGCCCCAUCUUUGUUUGUCGGUCAGCGGACGGAAACUAAUCAUGAUCCAGGGCCCAAUAUUAAUUAGGCCCCUCUUCUAGGGUCCAAAAAGUUGCCGAAGUUAAUAACAUCAUGGUCAGACAUGGUAUAGUAGUCCAAGACGAGACUACGACUGCUAAAGAGGAUAGGAUACCCACGAUAAGACGACAACAACGAAAGUCGUUACAGUCAGUCAGUCAGAACAAUAAUCACCGGUAGCUAGACGGUUACUGAUACUUGCAAGUCUGCAGUGACACCUACACCGUAUCCACGUAACAUUCCGGUAAACCACGACACAAAAUAUUCCUUAGCUUCUAAACUCUCACGAUUCAUAACAUGAUCAUAUAACAAAGGAACACCACAAACCUCCUGACGUCUACUAUUAGACGUACGAGGGAACCACCCGUGAGGUUAUCGAGAAACUUUAAACGCAAAAGAUACCCUAUAACCGUCUAGAGUAUAAGUACUCUAAAGAACAGACCACCUAGAACGACUACAGAUGCCGAACUGAAAACUCAUAAAAUGUGGUAAACUUUUCAUGAGGGAGACAUUUGAUUAUAUUCUCACAAAUCUAGUGAUAAAAUCACUAGAUUUGCGAGAAUAUAAUCAAAUGCCUCCUUCAUCAAAGAUAGACUUAGACUACCCUGACGUCUAAAGAACGGACCACCUAGAACGACUACCCUAAAAUGAGGUUGCUUAGAUCAUUUAGACAAAUGAACCAAAAGAACACGUCGAUACUGAUAAGUCCUAUACCCCGGAGAUGUCCUUUUGGUAGCCUCAUAUUGUGCAUGAUGCUGUAUCUCCGACAGAUACUGACAAACUUUUUCCUCAUACCCUAUCCCGUUCUCCUAGACUAGGACAUACCCGUUAGUCAACCUUCGCCUGGCUGCAACGUGAACCGGAGUGCAAACCUAUUUGAUUCUCCCCAGCAGGAAGUGUCGCCGUAAGACAGUCCGUAUGCGCAAAACAUAGGUCACUUUCACUGUGAAACCAAACUAUAGAAGUUCUUGUAGCUGUUUUAUUUCGUUCAGCUUACAGGUCACGACCAAUAUGUACCGUGCCGCCUGCUGUAGCAGCUGAAGAGCGUACCGUUCGCGGAUACCCUCGAUCGCUUCCUCUUCAUGCUCGGCGACACCCAGUUUCCGCCGCCGGUGACGUUGGACCUCUGCAUGGGGCUCAUGUAGGCCGUGGACGCCUUCAAGCACUUGCGCUACCUCUUCGACCGCUCCCUCGCUCGCUGUUUCCGCGGGGUCCAUGGCGGCAGCUCGUACCCGCUUCACUUUGUGUUGUUCACGAACUCUAAACCCUUCACUAGCUACUGGGAACUGGUACGGUCGAGAGCGAUUGACACAGCAACGAGCGCAUAUCUGUGACUACUAGACUGCCUCCUCGGCUUCUUCGGUCAGCGCCGCCUGCCGCCAGAGGGGCAGCCCGAGGCUACUGUACUGUGGUACCCCACCCCCCUUCACGUUGCCGCAGCAGCAGCGAAUAGCGGCCAGGCCAGCGCCCAAGUCCCAAUCUGUCCGAGGUACCGACCUUACACGACCUCUACUGACUUCUCUUUGUCUUCGGAUCACCUCCUUCGUACGCCCUUUAGUAUAUAUCGGACAACAACAACCCAUCACAAGUCAACCCCGAGAGAGGAAAAAGAAAAAAUAAGUCGGACACAUAAUCAACUACACGUUUCUUCACAGGUAGAGAGGAUUAACUAACGUUUCACGAAGCACACGACAGUCCGUCACACCGUAAACCCACAGACGAAGUAUCAAAGUCAAAGUCAAAGCAAAACGAAGAACAGACCCAACGACACGAGUCAAGUAUCGUCUCGGUUUGUCCUCCGUCUCCGAAUUUGAUGAAUUGGAAUUGGACGGACGUGCUGUUUAAGAACCAGAUGUUGUCACACU
rnacentral:rRNA from 1 species